UGAAGUUUGAAUCUAAAUCAGUCAAAUCAGACUCAUCCCUUCAAUUAAAAUGAGGGAGGUCAUUUAAGAUCAAACACAGAGCUGAAAUAGCCUCUCACUGUUACCAAGAAGACCACAGGGUGCCGAACCUGCCAGGUGUUUUUCUUAAUUAGUUAAUUGGUUGCAUCUGGUGCGUUUCACUUAAAAGGGAACCGGACACUACAUGUGUUUGUACUGUCUCUUCCAGUUUCAUAGGUUAAAGACUUUUUGAAGUAAAGAGGAGCAUCUCAUCUGAACCUGAUGUCUAUCUUGGAUAUUUAACUGCAGUUCUGUGAGUAUCCCAACUUAACCAUGAAGAUGAACUGCAAACUGUAAGUCAUUAAUUUGUCAUUACUCUUGGGCACAUUGAUGUAUUUUGGCUUCCUGGUGGGUUAACCUGUUACCUGAAGGUUGAUCUGAGUAGUAAGGAUGUUUUAUUGGUUCAUGGGUUACUUAGGUGUUUGGUUUAUGUUGGUUUUAAUGAUUUGUUAAAAUGGUUACAGGCUCCAAGUUAUUGUUGUAAGAUGGAGUAAUGGGUUUGGUUCUGAUAUCUUUAGUCUUCUUUCAUUCUACUCUCCUGAGCUCUGCAUCUUCAUCACAUGAGUGUUGCUCUACUGUGAGGGUGUGGUCUGAGUGAGCAGAGGUGCAUACUGGGAUACAGAGCUGUCUCGAGUCUACAGGUCUGUAGACACGCCCCUUCAGGGGAAACCGAGUUUUUGAGAAACCGUCGUGACGUUAGUUACAUGGACUGGAAUGUUCUUAAAGAUGGAGACAGGGAUUCAGAAGGAGAAACACCAGGGGGAGAUGAGGGGCUCCUCAUCUCAACGACUAAAACACAACUUCAGUCUGACACAAAGAACCAUGGAACACAUUCAACAGUCCCCUCCAGGCAUCGUGACUCCUCAGGAACAGUUUCAUUUCCAAGAAGGUCUUAUUUGGGGCCAUCCCCAUAUGGAUCCUGCUCCUCAAGAGCCAACCCCCUCCACUGGGUGGUCUUCUGAACAGAUGACCUCCUUCCUGUCCUCAGGCUGACUAAAGCUGCACCGUUUGCAUCUGUGAAGGCCCCUCAUUCAGGAAACCACUGGACUACAAAGACGUGACUACAGAGACGUUGAAUCAACCUGGGACAUCAACCUGAGACGCCAAGCAUAAUCCAUCACCAAUGUGGGACGCCACUGAAGAAUGUUGUACAUAAUUUACGUCUCUGGAGACAUUGGUUGUUCUGUUCUGGGUGCCCUGGCAGGAGAGCUGGGGGUGGAUGAUGGAAUGGUAUUUGCUAUGAGGUUUUUACCCUGCAUGAUUGUUUGGCCUUUUAUGGCUCAGUGGUGUGUGUGUGUGUGUGUGUGUGUUUGACAUGAGAUGGAAGAUUUUUGAGCAUCUCUAGGGUUCUACUGUGUGUGUGUGUGUGUGUGUGUGUGUGUGUGUGUGUGUGUCACUCCCUGGCAUGGGGUUCUACGUGCCUGUCCUGGGUUCUAUGUGUGUGUGUGUCCGGCUUGCUUUGACAGUGAUAAUGUUCAUACGGGGGUCUGUGUGAUUGGCUUGGGAUAUUGGAAUGGUCAACUAAAUCAUACCUGAUGGACGGCCACACGUUUACUUAAGGGCCUCCAGUAGACAUGAAGAGCCCUGAGCGACGCUCCGGAGUGAGAUCCAACACACUGGGCAGGAAGGAGAGUGUCCAACUCAAGUGUAAAAGGAUGCAAGCGGCGUGUUCAGAUCAGUGACUUCAAACUAGGACUACACCAAUCAGGAUCAAUGGAGGAUGGACACCUAAAGGAAUUCCACAAGGAGAGUGACGUUGGAAAGGGACCUAAAUGGAUGUUCAAGAUGACCUUCAGACCUGUAAUGAGACGGCUCUUCCUACCUGGCUGGAUUGAUGGAGAGCCCUGUGGAUCUUGUCUUGCUCUCAGUUGCACUUCUUCUCAGGCUGAACUGUAUUUGUUUCGGACAGGACUAGCUGAACGAUUGGUUCCCUUUUAACCAGAACCAAUCCGGGAACUCCAGCUAGUGCGCUCUUCGAGCUGAAGUUGUGCUCUUCAGCUGAGGAGGUAAGGAAACCUUCACUGGGGCUUCAAGGUGUAAAGAGGAGAAUGUUUCAAAGUGUUCUAUGGUACUCUGAUGAAGACCGUUGUGUUCCACUGGCUGCGAGGAAGAACCCUCACAUCUUCCUCUUGGCCUUUCUCCUCUGAGAAUCCUGGCGCCAUCUUGAAGGAUAUUCCAGCUCAUGUAACUGAUGUCACGACAGAUUCUCAAACACUUGGUUUCUCCUGAGGGGCGCGUCUAUGGAACUGAAGACUUCCGACAGCACUGUAUCCCAGCAUGCAUCUCUGCUCACUCAGACCACACCCCCAUGAGUAGGAUGCAACACUCUAGUGAUGGAGUUGUAGAGUUUUAUAAGUAACUAGGGAGCAGACUAAGGUGAUUGGAACCCAAUGGAAUGUCAAGUCUGUAUAUUUUUAAGCCAUGAAGAUGGUUGGAUAGUUCAGGAAUUGGGCUUCUUUUUAUUAUUGGCAGUCCUUUCACUCAGAUGCCCACUUCUCACUGGAGCUGUACAUGUGAUGGCUGGCAUGAUUCGCUGUUGGUGAUGAGGCGGUCAGGGUGACGUUGCAGGGCUAUGGUCGGCUCUCUGUGAGCUCAACGUUUAGAUUUGCUCUGUAUGGUUUGUACCCUGAAUAAUCUAGAUAAUUGUAAAAUGUAGACACGGUUUUGUAUUGAAUGAUUCCCGGUUUUUAGGUUUAAGGUUGUUGUGGGACGUACAUGGUAGUUUGGUUCUUCGUAUGGUUUUGAGUGAUAUAACUUGUACACACCGGGUGCAUAAUAAUGUAAAGGUACACUGAAUAGUAUUAAUGACCAACAGCAACAAACAGAUCUCCUCAAGGUAAGUCUGUUGGCUGUGUUCUAAUGAAGACCAUCGCUGGACUUCAGGAUCUUCCUCCGUUCAGCUCAAGGUGAGGCGCUGGUUCUGUUUUUUCUUUGGUUGGUUCCGGCCGGAAUGUUCGUAUUCCAGUCGGACGGUUUGUGCUUCCCGCCGUGGAAGGUUCUGAGUGCGGUCACUUGAUUUAGUCCCAAUGGUUAGCAUAGAACGUUGUAGUCUUGACAACCAUAAUAAACCACCUGGCAGUUAGUUUGACGGGAGUCCCCUGAGGGAAUCUGGCGGAACGUUCUUGAUUGUAUUUGCGUAACCUCGAGGCGUUGCCAAUGGAAACAAUUUUUUCAGUCGGUUUCCAUUGGGAAUUGUUGCCCCUAUCUUAAACAACUAAAGUUUGAUAUUAAAUACAUACUGAGACGUACGUCGUACAAUACGUUGAUAAUUUCCGAUGGUUGCGCCGUACUUUUAACCACGAUGACGUUGCGGGACUCUCUGCGUUCAAAACGGCGUUCUACUUGCGGGCCCAUUUUUGACAUCAGUGAAGGCUGAAAAUCAUUUCAAGGUGGAAGAUAAUUUGACAUUUCUUCAACGGAACCCAGCACCUGAAUAUGGCUGAGUAUAUUUGAUUUAAUAUCGAUACUGCUUAGUGUUCUUUGUUACUUCAGCUUUCGUACGUUCUAAAUAUCUGGUGUCAAUAAUUGCCACAGAAGUUAAACCCUACCCAAUGGAAUGACGUUAAACAACGACUUUGGUGCAGAGUUACCAACUGGAUAAUAUCAAAGCUAAAAUAAUGGCCGUCAUUCCCACAUGUUACAGUAGAAGAUACUCUAGAACUGUACAAGGUUAAAAAGGUAAAGUGUAGUUUGUCCCAAGGUGUCUGCCUCCUCACCCAGAGCCAGACCUCCACCUCCUCACCCAGAGCCAGACCUCCACCUCCUCACCCAGAGCCAGACCUCCACCUCCUCACCCAGAGCCAGACCUCCACCUCCUCACCCAGAGCCAGACCUCCACCUCCUCACCCAGAGCCAGACCUCCACCUCCUCACCCAGAGCCAGACCUCCACCUCCGGUCAGAAGUCCUCCAGAACAGCUGAAAGGCGAGGCUGAGAGGCUGGGGACCAGAGGCUUGUGGUGCCAGGAUGGACCCGAGACUGAGGCUGGAGACCAGGGGCCUGCAGCACCGGACCAGAGGACCAGGACUCUGUCUGAGGAGAGCUGCUGGAGGAGCUGAGACGCUGGAGGACGACUAGGAAUCGACCAACAAGGAUUCCUCAACGUGUUUCUGGAGCGGAGGCGAGCUGAUUGGGGAGCCGUGAAUCUGGAGGAUGACCAUCAUUCUACCAAACAGGGUUGUUAGUUUGUAUUAACCAAACAAACUGGAAAUAAAGGGCUUAAAAAUAGGACAAACUACAUGUUUGUUACCAGACUUUAGGGCCAGACUCGCGCUGUUUGUUCCAGACCAGGACUCUGGCUGAGGAGAGCUGAUGGAGGAGCCAAGACUCUGGAGGACGACAUCACUCCACCAACCAGGAUCCUUACCAGGAAUCUGGAGGACUGAUGGAGAAGCCGUACAUCUGGAAGGCAAAUCCUGAGGACCACCAGGACUCUACCAUCAAGGAUUCCUCAUAAAUGUGCAGUAUCUGGACAUAGUGGACUAGACACAGCUGAGCUGAACCUCACCUGAUCCUGUUUGGUCGGGGGUAGACAGACCUGAGCUAAACCCGCCCUGAUCCUGACAUCCUGCUGGUCCCGUCUCCUCAGUUCAUCUGAGCCUCGUCCUCCAGAAGACCUGCUGAGCUCAGCAGUCUGAGGCUGAUGGAUCAAUGACCUCCAGUGGGAGUGUUCUUCUUGACCCCACAAGUAACCGUGUGCUUCCACACGCCUUUCCCUCACGUCUGUCACUAACCUCACUACUUCACUACUCUCUACUGCUUCCUCUUUUUUUUCCUUCUGUGGUUCGAACCUUUACACGGAAGGCGCGUCUUCCUGCCCUCAGAGGGUUUAGCGUUAGGGUUGAGUGUCAGGGUUUAGAGUCAGGGACAGAGCUGGUCAGGGAGGACUGCUUUUACAAAAACCUCUUCACUUGCUUUCGGAAUGGUGGUGACAUUUUGAAAAGAUUAAUUUGGGAAAAUGUUUUCCUCUGCUUUCCUUUACAAAAUUGUAUCAAACUUAUGUCAAGUGUUUUUGUUUAUAUAUUAAAAUCCCACAUUGACUUCUACAUGUUUGUUACGGUUCAUUUAAUUGUCCUUUAACUUGGUUAUGUCAAGCUAAACUCCCGCAAUACAUUUAAUAUACAUGAUUGUUAUUCUGCAAUGUUCACAUAAUCCAUUUUGUAAAAAUAUGAAACCUCCAUAUUACUACUAAAUUCAGGCCUAUUAAUGUAUUUAACAGACCUGCAAACUCCUCAGAGGAAAAAAGGUGACAGUGUCACGGGG
ensembl:lncRNA